UACAGAGGGUGCGAGCGUUAAUCGGAAUUACUGGGCGUAAAGGGUGCGUAGGUGGUUGAAUAAGUUAGGUGUGAAAUUCCUGGGCUUAACCUGGGGACUGCGCCUAAUACUGUUUAGCUAGAGUAUUGUAGAGGAAAGUGGAAUUUCCGGUGUAGCGGUGAAAUGCGUAGAUAUCGGAAGGAACAUCAGUGGCGAAGGCGACUUUCUGGACAAAUACUGACACUGAGGCACGAAAGCAUGGGGAGCAAACAGG
rnacentral:rRNA from 1 species